AUCUUUGUUGUCAGGAGGAACGGUCUUUAGAAGUCAGAUGUGUUUUUUAUUUAGUUAAGAAUAAACAACACUAUAUACAAUUCAGACACAAUCACAUCAUUAAACCAACACAGUAAAUGAUAACAGAUUUCAAUUACACCAAACAUCACACUAGACAAGUCAUCAUCAUCAUCAUUAUCAUCAUCAUCAACACCAUCAUCAUCACCAUCAUCAUCAUCAUCAUCAUCAUCAUCACCACCAUCAUCAUCAUCUAAAUAAUAAUAUUAAUAACAAUAGUAAUAAUAAUUAUAACUAUCAUAAUAAUAGUAACAACAACAACAAUAAUAAUAAUCUAUUGGGUGGUUGGGCUUGUUGCCGUGGUUAUUGAGUACUGAUGGUGAAUGUCGUCACUAAGUAAAACACAACAGAUGAGGAAAUCUGAUCAGACAGAUCAGAAAAGGAAGAGUUGUUUCUCAGACAGCUCCAUGACACUGUUCCAUGACACUGUUCCAUGACACUGUUCCAUGACACUGUUCCAUGACACUGUUCCAUGACACUGUUCCAUGACACUGUUCCAUGACACUGUUCCAUGACACUGUUCCAUGACACUGUUCCAUGUGUCUCUGAUGCUGAUGGAUUUACAAAUGUUUUUUCGUCAAUGAUCAGGUGUUGUUGUAUUUUAUUAUCAGACUUCACCCCUAUAGUGAGACUCGCUGUCGGUUUUGAGCAGGGCAUUUGACAUUCACCAACGUCCUCCUAAAUUGCAAAUCAAGUGGUCGCUACUGUGUGUAUGGCCCAUGUGAUUGGUAGCCAAUGACUCAGGUGUCUCUGGGGCCUUUUCUCGUUUGGGCAAAAGUCAGUCUUCCGUCCUCUCUCCUCCGUCCUCUCUCCUCCGUCCUCUCUCCUCCGUCCUCUCUCCUCCGUCCUCUCUCCUCCGUCCUCUCUCCUCCGUCCUCUCACCUCCGUCCUCUCUCCUCCGUCCUCUCUCCUCCGUCCUCUCUCCUCCGUCCUCUCUCCUCCGUCCUCUCUCCUCCGUCCUCUCACCUCCGUUCUCUCUCCUCUUUUCUGUCUCAUCCGAAACUGAUGGAGGAGAAAGGACGCAGAAGUAGAGCAAAUCUAACUGAGAAAAGGCCUGGGUCUUUAAGUGUCUGUAUGUCUCUUGUGAUUGGUUGCCAGUGA
rnacentral:lncRNA from 1 species